CCCUUAGAUGUCCUGGGCCGCACGCGCGCUACACUGAGUGUCUGAGAUACGAGUCUGCCUGGUCCGGCAAGGUCUAGGUAAUCGCUAAAAGACACAUCAUGCUUGGGAUAGAUUAUUGCAAAUAUUAAUCUUGAACGAGGAAUUCCUAGUAAGCGCAAGUCAACUGCUUGCGUUGAUUACGUCCCUGCCCUUUGUACACACCGCCCGUCGCUACUACUGAUUGGAUGUUUAAGCGAGGUUCUCGAACUGCUAGCGACUUAGCUUCGGUGAGGUCGCAGUGUGGGAAGUGAACCUAGCUUUGGUGUCUAGAGGAAGUAAAAGUCGUAACA
rnacentral:rRNA from 1 species